rnacentral:misc_RNA from 1 species
UCUCCGUAGGUGAACCUGCGGAGGGAUCAUUACUGAGUGAGGGUCUCCGGGCCCGACCUCCAACCCUUUUGUGAACCACCUCGUUGCUUCGGGGGCGACCCUGCCGUUCGCGGCGUGGGGCCCCCGGUGGUCUAUUCAAACACUGCAUCUGUGCGUCUGAGUAAAGAUUAAAUCAAUCAAAACUUUCAACAACGGAUCUCUUGGUUCUGGCAUCGAUGAAGAACGCAGC